UUGAGUUUAAACAAGUAUUUUCUUUGAUAUGACCUAGUGACCUUGUUUUUGACCCCAGGUGACCCAUAUUCAAACUCGACCUAGAUUUCAUCAAGGCAAUCAUUCUUACCAAAUUUCAUGAAGAUCAAUUGAAAAAUACAGCUUCUAUCGCAUACACAAUGUUUUUCUUUGAUUUGACCUAGUGACCUAAUUUUUAAUCCUAGAUGACCCAUAUUCAGGUUCGAACUAGAUUUCAUCAAGGCAAUCAUUCUGACCAAAUUUCAUGAAGAUCAAUUGAAAAAUACAGCCUCUAUCACAUACACAAUGUUUUUCUUUGAUUUGACCUAGUGACUAGUUUUUGAUCCCAGAUAACCCAUAUUCGAACCUGUCCUAGAAUUUAUCAAGGUUAUCAUUCUGGCAAAAUUUCAUAAGAUCAGUUGAAAAAUACAGCCUCUAUCGCAUACACAAUGUUUUUCUUUCAAUUGACAUAAUGACCUAGUUUUUGAUCCCAGAUGACCCAUUUUCGAACAUGGCUUAGAUUUGAUCAAUGUAAUCAUUCUGACCAAAAUUAAUGAAGAUCAAUUGAAAAAUACAGCCUCUAUCGCAUACACAAGGUUUUUUAUUUGACCUAGUGUCCUAGUUUUUGACCCCAGAUGACCCAUUUUUAAACUUGGCCUAGAUUUCAUCAAGGUCGUCAUUCUGACCAGAUUUCAUGAAACUCAAUUGAAAAAUACAGCCUAUAUCACAUACACAAGCUAAAUGUUGACAUACAGCAGACGCCGGCAUCGAGUGAUUACAAGAACUCGCCUGAGCAUUGCUCAGGUGAGCUAAAACUGUAUACUAUAUACUAAGCAUUGUGAAUUGGAAUCCAAUUUAAUUUGCAAGCUGCUGUGAGGCAUUAUCUAUAGACAAGAAAUGAUGAACAGUGUUGGUCAGUGUUGAUUCAUUCCAUUUUUGAUGAGAACUUGAAUACAUUUCUUAUAAACUGUUUUUGUUUUUUAGGCUCUCAGAUUUUCUACCUAGUGUAUGAAAAGUACACAAGAAUUGGAUAAAAAUCGAUACUAUUAUCUACCCUUGUUUAUUAAGAUCAACGCUAUACACAGUUGUCUCCCUGCUGUUGGAAGCGGAGCAAACAGUGUAGUAUCUAUGGUCCACCAUCACUUCCAGCAUCAUGGCUAUGGAGAAAAGAAUGUUUCAUCACAUAUGGACAAUUACAGUGGACAAAAUAAGAACAGUGACUAUGCUGAAAUAAGUUAUGGAAUGUGGCGUGUUAUGAAGGGUCCACAUGAUUGAAGUACAGCCUGAUGGAAGCCGGGCAUACAAAAUUCAGUCCUGAUUGGCUUUUUGGCCUGUGGAAGAAUGUCUUCUGCACAACCUGGUAUAGUAUUCAUGAAGAUUAAUAACUUCAACAUAGAGACAGAGAUUAAUAUUCUUAGACAGGGGGUUGGUAUGACAGGCGAAUUCCCCAACGGUAUUACCAUUUCUGAGCUGGAUGCCAGUCAACAGUGGUACCUGUAUAAUGAAAUAGCGCCCCUUUGCAACGUUACAGCAGUGUGUGCUCAAAACCAGCAGUGCCAAAGCCAUUAAAAUUGAAAACUCAGUCAUUUAAAAUGAAGAAUGAUUGAAAAAAAGUGUUUUUUGAAAGUGUUUUUGAUCUUUUUUUAAGGUGUACUAGACCCAAAUUUCAUAAUUUUAAAUAUGAACAAAUGCUACAUAUAGAUUAUGUAAACAUUGGAUUAACAAGUUUAUGUGUGUCAACAGUACUAUGCAUUGGUUAAAUAUAGAACACACUGUAUACAUGUAAGGCUGAACACAGUAUAAAUGUGAAAUUCCUCUAAAACACUGGAAGAUUUUUAAACAAUUGACUGUGACUGCAUGACAUUAAAUUAUGAAUGUACAUGUAGCUCUAAAAUCUAUUAUAAGUCCACAAGAAAGUCUUUACCAAGUAGAGAUAGGUCAAAAUAAACCUAAAAAUUCGAUGUAACAUAUAUGUUGUACCAUGUUGAGGUCUCUAUUUUUCCCUAUGG